CGUAAGGCGUGAGGAAGGAGGGGAUGAUGUCAAGUCAUCAUGGCCUUUAUGCCCAGGGCUACACACGUGCNACAAUGGGCAGGACAAAGGGCUGCAACACAGCGAUGUGAAGCCAAUCCCAAAAACCUGUUCUCAGUUCAGAUCGUAGUCUGCAACUCGACUACGUGAAGCUGGAAUCGCUAGUAAUCGUAUAUCAGCAAUGAUACGGUGAAUACGUUCCCGGACCUUGCACACACCGCCCGUCAAGCCAUGGGAGUCGGGUGUACCUAAAGUCGGUAACCGUAAGGAGCUGCCUAGGGUAAAAUCGAUGACUGGGGCNAAGUCGUAACAAGGUAGC
rnacentral:rRNA from 1 species